CCCUUAGAUGUCCUGGGCUGCACGCGCGCUACACUGAUGUGUCCAGUAAGCACCUAACCUCUUCCGAAAGGAACGGGUAACCUUUGCAAAGCACAUCGUGAUGGGGAUAGAUUAUUGCAAUUAUUAGUCUUGAACGAGGAAUUCCUAGUAAGCACAAGUCAUCAGCUUGUGUUGAUUACGUCCCUGCCCUUUGUACACACCGCCCGUCGCUCCUACCGAUUGAAGGUUCCGGUGAGCUCUUCGGACUGCGCGGUCUGCAGUUUCUGCGUUCCGUGCGGAAAGUUGCGCAAACCUUAACAUUUAGAGGAAGGAGAAGUCGUAACA
rnacentral:rRNA from 1 species